GGGUUUUGUGUGUAAUCAAGGAGUAUUAUUAAUUAUUGGUAAUGAGGACUUCAGUGAAUGGAUUUUGCCAGUGGCACAGUUCACUGAAGACUGAGCAGCCUAUAAACACCCAGACCAUCCCUUUCAGGUGUUUGAAUUUUAGUUGUAAACCCCAUCGCCUGGAAGAUUCUCGGUUUUGUUUGCAGUUAUCGAAGAAAUACCAUGCAGUAGAACUACUUGGAGGGCGUCUACCAUGGAAUAGGACUACCUGGAGGGUGUCUACCAUGGAAUAGACUCCGGAGGGCAGACACCCGAAGACACAAGCAAAAUGCACAAACGAGGAACAGAAGGCGAACUAGUUCCUCAAAGGGCGUAAUCAAGCAAGAGAUGCUGUGGUCUUCAGAGGAUUCAAGUUACAGAAAUAUACUUAUAAGAAGUAAAGGCAGUGAAGAUAAAGAGGAGGAAGGAAUAAGAAGUGAAGAAGAAGGAAUAAAAAGUAAAGCAGUGAAGAUAAAGAGGAAGGAAUAAGAAGAGAAGAAGAAACUUAUAAGAAGUAAAGCAGUGA